rnacentral:rRNA from 1 species
CAGCAGCCGCGGUAAUACAUAGGGUGCAAGCGUUAUCCGGAAUUAUUGGGCGUAAAGGGCUCGUAGGCGGUUUGUCAGGUCGGGUGUGAAAGCUGGAGGCUCAACCUCGAACCUGCAUUGGGUACGGGGAGACUGGAGGGGGGUAGGGGAAAUUGGAAUUCCUGGUGUAGCGGUGGAAUGCGGAGAUAUCAGGAGGAACACCAAUGGCGAAGGCAGAUUUCUGGGCCAUGUCUGACGCUGAGGAGCGAAAGCAUGGGGAGCAAACAGGAUUAGAUACCCGGGUAGUCCAAGCUGUAAACGUUGGGAACUAGGUGUGGGGAGGAUUCGACGGUUCCGGUGUCGUAGCUAACGCGUUAAGUUCCCCGCCUGGGGAGUACGGCCGCAAGGGUAAAACUCAAAGGAAUUGACGGGGGCCCGCACAAGCGGCGGACGAUGUGGUUUAAUUCGAUGCAACGCGAAGAACCUUACGAAGGCUUGACAUAUACCUGGCAAGCUUCAGAGAUGUUCUCUACGUCAAUGUCGUGACAGGUGGUGCAUGGUUGUCGUCAGCUCGUGUCGUGAGAUGUUGGGUUAAGUCCCGCAACGAGCGCAACCCUUGUCCUUUGUUGCUAU